ACAACUUUCGACAACGGAUCUCUUGGUUCUCCAUCGAUGAAGACCGCAGCU
rnacentral:rRNA from 1 species